UACAGAGGGGGCAAGCGUUAUUCGGAAUUAUUGGGCGUAAAGGGCGCGUAGGCGGCCUGGCAAGUGGAAGGUGAAAUCCCUCGGCUUAACCGAGGAACUGCCCUCCAAACUGCUUGGCUUGAGUCCGGGAGAGGUGAGUGGAAUUCCCAGUGUAGCGGUGAAAUGCGUAGAUAUUGGGAGGAACACCAGUGGUGAAGGCGGCUCACUGGACCGGAACUGACGCUGAGGCGCGAAAGCGUGGGGAGCAAACAGG
rnacentral:rRNA from 1 species